GAAUACACAUUGUUGCAGAAUCUGUAUUCCAAGAUGCACUAGACGCUCCACUGUUGCUAGUCUUCUACGUAAAGCUAGCCAAACUACAAAUUUGAAUCGUGGAUGUAGUUUAGGCUGCAAUACUAUGCUUUUCCAUUGUACUUUGGGGAAAAGAGGGAGUUGGAGUUUGUAGAGUUUAUUGAUGUUGAAUUUUCCACCCCUCUGUAGCUGGAUCAGUCUACAUUUCAGAUCCCCCUGUAUACCUUGUGUGUUUGUUAUCAAUGAUCUGGUCUCAAAAAUCUUCCUCACAGCCCAGGCCGCUGUUUUAGGAGUUGGAACAUCCUCUACAGCACUCUGUAGCUGGUUCAGUCUACAUUUCAGGUCCCAUUGUACACCAUGUGUGUUUGUUAUC
rnacentral:lncRNA from 1 species